GGGCCCUUAGCUCAGUUGGUUAGAGCACCUGACUCAUAAUCAGGUGGUCGCUGGUUCGAGACCAGCAGGGCCCA
rnacentral:tRNA from 1 species